AGAGUUUGAUCCUGGCUCAGGACGAACGCKGGCGGCGUGCUUAACACAUGCAAGUCGAACGCUGAAGCACCAGCUUGCUGGUGUGGAUGAGUGGCGAACGGGUGAGUAAUACGUGAGUAACCUGCCCUUGACUCUGGGAUAAGCCCGGGAAACUGGGUCUAAUACUGGAUGCUACAUGUCACCGCAUGGUGGUGUGUGGAAAGGGUUUACUGGUCUUGGAUGGGCUCACGGCCUAUCAGCUUGUUGGUGAGGUAAUGGCUCACCAAGGCGACGACGGGUAGCCGGCCUGAGAGGGUGACCGGCCACACUGGGACUGAGACACGGCCCAGACUCCUACGGGAGGCMGCAGUGGGGAAUAUUGCACAAUGGGCGAAAGCCUGAUGCAGSGACGCCGCGUGAGGGAUGACGGCCUUCGGGUUGUAAACCUCUUUCAGCAGGGARGAAGCCACAAGUGACGGUACCUGCAGAAGARGSGCCGGCUAACUACGUGCCAGCAGCCGCRGUAAUMCYAKSGCU
rnacentral:rRNA from 1 species